ensembl:misc_RNA Metazoa_SRP Metazoan signal recognition particle RNA
UUGAUCCCAGGAGUUCUGGGCUGCAGUGUGCUAUGCCGAUGGGGUGUCUGCACUAAGUUGGGCAUCAAUAUGGUAACCUCACGGGACGGGGACCACCAGGUUACCUAAGGAGGGGUGAACCGGCCCAGGUCAGAAACGGAGCACGUCAAAAUUCCCGUGCUGAUCAGUAGUGGGAUCGCGCCUGUGAAUAGCCACUGCACUCCAGCCUGGGCAAUAUA